CUUCCUGUGAUGAGAACUUUGUCCAGUUCUGCUACUGAUUGACUGCGAUGACACUUAUGGAUCUGAGGAAG